rnacentral:rRNA from 1 species
CCUACGGGUGGCUGCAGUGGGGAAUAUUGGACAAUGGGCGAAAGCCUGAUCCAGCAAUACCGCGUGUGUGAUGAAGGCCUGCGGGUUGUAAAACACUUUCGUUGGGGAAGAAAUGCUCAAAGUUAAUACCUUUGAGAGUUGACGUUACCCAAAGAAGAAGCACCGGCUAACUCUGUGCCAGCAGCCGCGGUAAUACAGAGGGUGCAAGCGUUAAUCGGAGUGACUGGGCGUAAGGGGCGUAUGGGUGGAUUGAAAUCCCCGGGCUUAACCUGGGAAUGGCAUUCGAUACUGGAUAUCUCGAGUAUGGUAGAGGAAAGCGGAAUUCCCGGUGUAGCGGUGAAAUGCGUAGAUAUCGGGAAGAACAUCAGGGCGAAGGCGGCUUUCUGGACCAAUACUGACACUGAGGCGCGAAAGCGUGGGGAGCAAACAGGAUUAGAUACCCGAGUAGUC